ACAGUGUGGAUAUAUGAGAGAAAGGGGACACAACAGCCUUCCUCGGAUGGAAGAUUUCCAGGUGACAAGCAGCUAGACAGGGAGGGAUGUGAAGCUGAAUCAGGGAGUGAGAGAGACUGCCCCAAAGCAGCUCCUGCAGCUGUAUGCCUUGGGCCUCCUGGUCCAGAGCUUGGAAACCAAGCUGCUCUCUCAGCACAGAGGUCACUGUGGAUAGUCCUUCAUUCUCUCUGGAGCAAGAGCAUUUGAAAGGGAAGUGUGUGAAAUGAAACACUGGAACAAGGCAGCCAGUGCUUCCUGCUCCCAGCCUGAUCAGACA